rnacentral:sRNA from 1 species
GGGGUAUGGAAAACAGGCUCUUAAGUAUAAUGUUUAUUGUUAUGAAAGUGUAACUUGGUACUCAAUCUCCAUAGAUGCCAGUACAGCAAUAUCUAUUUAAAAUAAAAAUCCAUAUAUUCUUUGAUCCAACAAUUGCACUUCUAGGAUUAUUCUACAGAAAUAUUUAACCAUGUGUGAAAUAACAUGUGUAAAAAUAUUCGUAGAACGUUGAAAUUGUAAAAGAUUGGAAAGAUCCUAAAUAUCUGUCAACAAGUUGGAAACAAUUUAAAGUACAAGAAAAAGAGUUACUGGAAAAAUACACCUAUGUACACACAACAUAUAUACAUAUCUUAAUGCUUAUAAUGAAGUAUCUCUGGAAAAAUAAGCAAGAAACUGGCCUCCAGAAAAGCAUCCUUUUAUCAAGAAUGCAAAACCUGUAUCAAUAUUAAGAGACCUGAUCACAGAAGCUAUGGAGAUCAAAGCUAAAAGACAUGAGGAACAGCAACGAGAAUUGGAAGAGGAAGAAGAA